rnacentral:lncRNA from 1 species
AGUGUUGCAGUAGUUCUUUUUCAAUCUUGCAUCUGGUUGAAACAUUAUUCACCAAAUAAUGAAAAAUCUAUAAUAAUCCUGAACCACCAUAUAAAAAAUCAUCCAAAGUUAACUAGGAACAUAUGUCAGAGCGCUAUACAGUUGCAUCCCUAGAAAUAAAGGCGAUUUGAGGAGUUUUAAUUUCGUUGGGUGGUUAAUUAAAAGAUUACGACUCUUGAUUAUGAUGAUGAUGAGUAUUGUCAGUUAGUAAAAAAUAGUAUAUGUCAAAUUAACAUAAUUUAUGAAAAGCAAGAUAUUUCACUCCCCACGUGCAUAAUGAUAAUGUACCAGCCAAAGUACAUGGUGAAAUGCAAAUCGGGAUAAUCCCCCAUUGAUCUUACUAGGUGACUAUGGCCCAAGGCUGCCUGAAGGUAUUGUACAACACCAAACUAUGGCGACCACAUUUUGCCAUGCCUAAGCUUAAACAUGACACAAUUGCUUAGGUUAAGGUUUGUUUUUGCACUAACCAUAGUAGAAGUGCUACAACUUGUUAGGCAUGU